rnacentral:rRNA from 1 species
ACUCAAAUGAAUUGACGGGGACCCGCACAAGCAGCGGAGCGUGUGGUUUAAUUCGAUGCAACGCGAAGAACCUUACCAAGGCUUGACAUACAGUCGCAAGGUCGUGAAAGCGACCCCUCUUCGGACGGCUGUACAGAUGUUGCAUGGCUGUCGUCAGCUCGUGUCGUGAGAUGUUGGGUUAAGUCCCGCAACGAGCGCAACCCUUGUCUCUAGUUGACAAUCUAGAGAAACUGCCGGAAACAAACCGGAGGAAGGUGGGGAUGAUGUCAAGUCAGCAUGACUCUUACGUCUUGGGCUACACACACGCUACAAUGGCCGUUACAGCGAGAAGCCACCCCGCGAGGGGGAGCAGAUCUCUAAAAGGCGGCCCCAGUUCAGAUUGCACUCUGCAACCCGAGUGCAUGAAGUCGGAGUUGCUAGUAACCGCGUGUCAGCAUAGCGCGGUGAAUAUGUUCCCGGGUCUUGCACACACCGCCCGU